rnacentral:lncRNA from 1 species
CACACAUAGCUUUGGAAUAAGUAAUUAACUCUGGAGCAAGAAUUUAACUGGCCAAGAAAGUACUGGCAAAAUAAGUUACAAAGAGUCGAGUUCUGUUGACCGUCUGUUUCAAGAAAUGCUGCAGCCUGACUACGGUCCAGUAUGACUGCAGUGUGUCCUUGGCUAUGCUGGGAACCUCUGAGAUGGUAUUGCAUGCAGUAGAUCUUGGAAAAUGCCCUCAUCAUUAAAAUUUAGAUUGAUAAAAAUAUAU